GAUGAACGCUGGCGGCGUGCCUAAUACAUGCAAGUCGAGCGAACAGGCGAGGAGCUUGCUCCUCUGACGUUAGCGGCGGACGGGUGAGUAACACGUGGAUAACCUACCUAUAAGACUGGGAUAACUUCGGGAAACCGGAGCUAAUACCGGAUAAUAUAUUGAACCGCAUGGUUCAAUAGUGAAAGACGGUUUUGCUGUCACUUAUAGAUGGAUCCGCGCCGCAUUAGCUAGUUGGUAAGGUAACGGCUUACCAAGGCAACGAUGCGUAGCCGACCUGAGAGGGGGAUCGGCCACGCUGGAACUGAGACACGGUCCAGACUCCUACGGGAGGCAGCAGUAGGGAAUCUUCCGCAAUGGGCGAAAGCCUGACGGAGCAACGCCGCGUGAGUGAUGAAGGUCUUCGGAUCGUAAAACUCUGUUAUUAGGGAAGAACAAAUGUGUAAGUAACUAUGCACGUCUUGACGGUACCUAAUCAGAAAGCCACGGCUAACUACGUG
rnacentral:rRNA from 1 species